rnacentral:lncRNA from 15 species
AAGACAGGGAUGAGGCAGAGGUACUAUUGAUAGGGGAAGAAGUUGAGAUUGAGGCAGUGGAAGGUCAGGAUGAGGAAGACAGAGAGGAUUAUAAGCCUGAGGAGGCAGAUAGAAACCUGUUACUUGAGGAUGGCCCUUUUGCAAACACAAAAGUCCUGCUCCUGCUCCUGAACCCCCUGAGCCACUAACACCAUAUGGCUACUUCAAGCAGUAUGUUCCCAGUGAGAUGUUCUAGCUGAUGACAACAAUGACUAACAUCUAUGCAGAACAAAAUGCAGUCAGGGGGUAUAAACAUGCAUACAUUUCUGAGAUUGAAGCCCUUGUUGGUCUACAUUUGGCAAUGGGGGCACUGGGUUUGCCAAGAGUGUGAAUGUACUGGUCUUCCAGUAUCAAUAUCAGCCUUUUCCGGGAUACCCUGUCUCGUGACCGAUUUUUACAGCCUUCUGAAGACACUGAUGUGUUCUACAAGGCCAGACCACUCUAUGACUCCAUAAGGAAAUGCUGUCUAGAGCUGCAAGUGGAGGAACAUCUCUCUAUUGAUGAGCAGAUUGUGCCUUUCAGGGGGAAACUUUCUGUGCUUCAGUAUAUCAAAGGGAAGCCAGAACCAUGGGGAGUCAAGAUAUAUUUCCUCUGCAGCCAAAGUGGCCUUGCUUAUGACUUCCUCAUCUAUCAAGGUGCCACAACAGAGCUCUCUGAAGGUUUUAAGGAAGAAGGUUUUAGGACAUGGAGCAGGUGUGGUUGCCCACCUGUGCCAGAGAAUCCAGACUCCUAACCACAAGCUCUUUUUGACAACUUCUUCACCACCUACAAUGUCCUUGAAGUGCUGGCAGAAAAGAAAAUCCAUGCGGCUGGCCCAGCUAGGGUUGGCUGCUUUGCAAAGCCCCCACUGAAGAGUGACAAAGAAAUGUCAAAGAAAGAGCAAGGGAACCCGAUGAAGUGAGGAGUAGGGAUGGAAAGGUGGUUCUAGUGAAGUGGUUUGAUAACUGCUCUGUUGUGCUGGCCUCCAACUUUGUUGGUGUAGGAGAUGAAGACGAAGUUGCUAGGUGGGAGAAGAAAGAUGGGCGGUUCCUUAAGGUCAAGCGUCCAGAGGUGGUGAAGAAAUACAACAAGACCAUGGGAGGGGUGGACAAGCUUGAUCAACUCAUCAGCCUUUACAGGAUUACCAUCUGGUCCCGCAAAUGGGCGCAUGAUUACUCAUGCCUUUGAUGUUGCUGUAGUGAACAGCUGGCUUGAGUAUUGCAGAGACAAAGAACGCCAGGGCACUCAGCCACAGCAAGUCAUGGAUCUCCUUGACUUCAAAUUGAAUGUGGCAGAAGCUCUUGUGCGCAUGGGGAAGCGCCGCGCAUUGAGAAAAUGAUUCAAAAAGUUCCAACACACCCAGUCCAUGUACGAGUCCAACUCACCAUGAUGAGCCACCAAAAAAGAGAGGAGCCAUGGAAAAACGGCCCAUUCAAGAGGUGCAGACCGACAUGCUGGACCACAUGCCAAAUUAUGAUGCAAAAAAAAUAAGCAACAAGGUGCAAAUUGCCAGGCUGUUCAGGAAAAACACAUGUCUACUGUGACAAGUGCAAGGUGCACUUCUGUUUUGUGUCACAGAGAAAUUGUUUCAAAUAUGCCCACAGAAAAUGAGGCAGUAGUGACAGAAUUGUGAGAUUCUAUAGCUUUUUUUGUUGGUAAAUUGUAACCAAACAAACAAACAAACAAACAAACAAACAAAAAAAAUCUAUGAUGUUAUAUUUUAAAACUGUUUGGACCUUACAAAAAAACAUCAUUUGAACUGUUCAAGCUCAUGUUCCAUGUGAUGUCAAUGUGACAAUUGUAAGACAAAAAAUAGGUAUGAUGUUGUCAUAUGAUGUUGGUAUUUUAACAACUGUUUGGACCCAAUGUUCAUUGAAAUGGACAAAAAAAAUAACAAUUAAAGAGUUUUGAUAAAAAACACUUUUUUAUUGAUUCUCAUUUCUGGUUGCAUUAAGGAUGGGAAAAAGUCAUUAUUAUAUUUUUCACAACCUUGGAACAUAAAGGUGGCCUGCAGUCCAGGAAUGAAUAACUGGCCCGUGUCAUUAACAGUGAUGUGUAUGACUACUCUUGCAUAUUUAGUUCACCCAAAAAUGGGCCAGUUGUAUAUUUACACACUUUAUGCAGUAAGGAUCAUAAUGAAAUGAACAUUAGCCACAGAAGAGAUGCACAUUUUGUAAUCAAUACUGACCGACAGACGGGUGAGACAACUACAUGCAUUCUGACAUACUAAUUAUUACUGCCAUCCACCAAGGAAAAUGGUUAACCGAAACAGUAAAACUGUGGGCCAGACAGAGAAACAAUUAUAUAUACAAAGGUAUUUUCAAGAUUCAAGAUUCAAGAAGCUUUAUUUAUCCCGAGGGAAAUUACUGUGCAACAGUUUCAAUACAAAGGUGGUAAAGUAAAGUACUACAGGGUUAGAGUAAAAAUAAGCUAACAUAAAAUAAAAUAAAGUAAAAUAAAAUAAAAUAAAGGCUAACAUAAAAUAAAUCAAACAAUUAACUAAAUGCAACAAAAUGUAAGCACUUACAGGUAACAUAAGUAGAAAAGAAGAAACAAGUAACUAAAUGUGACAAAGUGCAACAAACAACAGUGAGGAUGUACUGUUGCACUACCAGUGCUGGUUUGGAGCGCUAUGUUGUUAUCUGUUAUCGCCUGAAGGUGGCACUAAAGUGCUUUGGGGGUUCUCAAGUGCAGACGGUGUGUACCUGCCUGUGAUUCAUUUAGUCUUUGUUGUUUUUCACCAGAGAUAUAUUUCUCACAAUAUUCUGUUAUACCCCACAUAUAGGUUCAUCUCUACGGGUUACACCUUUCUCAUUGACACAACUAAUCAGGGAAUCAUCAAUGAAAUGCAUUUAAAUAGAACCAGGUUUUGAGCAAAGAUCUGAUCUAUAUAAUGCAGAACCCAGCACAGCACCAGUCUUAAUGAGGCCAUAUUAUGCAACAGAACAGAAAACACUGACUAAUAACUUUUGUGUCGUUGAUAUGUGUUCAGGACAUUGGAGGGAGUAUUAUCUUGUAAACAGGGACGAUCCUGGACCGACGAUCUUGGGGGAAAUCCUGAUACGUAGAAUCACCAAGAAGAAGAAGAAACACCAACUAGUACUUGAUGAUAAGCCUUGACUCUUUGACCCACCUACCAAAUACUGGAAGACAUAUUAUUCAAAAUAUUGAAUGAAAUAUUGUUUGUCAAUGACAGUGAUGAUGCAGAAUAACAGGUUUGUGUUCUUCCUGUUUUUAAGAUAUGACCUUCUGAAAUCAUAUGACCCCAAUAACUCAGUAUCACUGAGUGAUGGGGACUCAGGGCUAAGAA